rnacentral:rRNA from 1 species
GACGAACGCUGGCGGCGUGCUUAACACAUGCAAGUCGAACGAAGCGGCGGACGGGUGAGUAAUGCCUAGGAAUCUGCCUGGUAGUGGGGGAUAACGUCCGGAAACGGGCGCUAAUACCGCAUACUAUCAGAUGAGCCUAGGUCGGAUUAGCUAGUUGGUGGGGUAAAGGCCUACCAAGGCGACGAUCCGUAACUGGUCUGAGAGGAUGAUCAGCCACACUGGAACUGAGACACGGUCCAGACUCCUACGGGAGGCAGCAGUGGGGAAUAUUGGACAAUGGGCGAAAGCCUGAUCCAGCCAUGCCGCGUGUGUGAAGAAGGUCUUCGGAUUGUAAAGCACUUUAAGUUGGGAGGCGUUACCAACAGAAGAAGCACCGGCUAACUUCGUGCCAGCCGCCGCGGUAAUUC